rnacentral:rRNA from 1 species
UACGUAGGGUGCAAGCGUUGUCCGGAAUUAUUGGGCGUAAAGAGCUCGUAGGCGGUUUGUCGCGUCUGCUGUGAAAUCUGGGGGGCUCAACCCCCCAGCCUGCAGUGGGUACGGGCAGACUAGAGUGCGGUAGGGGAGAUUGGAAUUCCUGGUGUAGCGGUGAAAUGCGCAGAUAUCAGGAGGAACACCGGUGGCGAAGGCGGGUCUCUGGGCCUGUACUGACGCUGAGGAGCGAAAGCGUGGGGAGCAAACAGG